AAUAUAUAAAAGCUGAAGUAAGAGAGAUGUAGAUUUAUGAUAAUUUAAUUCAUGAAACUGCAACUUUAACAGUCUUCGCCUUAGAUGGUGGAGGCAUCUUUUCAACUACAACAGUUAACACCCCAUUCUCGCAUUUGGCAGUAAUAGCAGAAACAUUGCAGUAAUCGGGCAGCUUGAACUUCCUCAUCAGUUUGAGGGGUGGAUUCCUCUCCAACCUCACGUACUUGCAUCCCUCUUCUUCACUCUCCUCGCGCUUCCUCUUCCCGUUGCUUCGUAUCACCAGCGUCUUCUCAUCUUCCACACUCACCUGUAUGUCAGAUUUGGAUAAACCAGGAACAUCCAUAUAAAAAAUGUACUCUUUUGGGGUAUCCAGAAUGUCCACGGGAAUGGUACCCCUACUCUCAUUUGACCUAGAAGGACUCACAAGCCUCUCAAUGGAUUCUGGAAAGAGAAGUUGGCUCACUACAUCCACAACAGAGCUCAUUUUCAAGAUUGUUUGCAGCCUAU
rnacentral:misc_RNA from 1 species